rnacentral:lncRNA from 10 species
GCUUGUUCUUCUGCUGGUAGAUGUGCUCGUUCUGUGGCGUCUGGUAGAACAUAGAGGGCUGCGGCUCCGAGUAGUCCUCCAGCAACUGCAUGUAGGCCAGCACUGUGAAACAAGGGAGAAAGCUGCAGCGAGGCCGGGGGAGGCCACAUCAGGGAACCCCUCCCCCCAUUCUUCCCACAGCAGCUAGGGGGCUUUCCACUGAAAGCACCUCAGAGAGGGACGAACAGACGGAGCACGGAGGACUUUUCGGGCAAUGAAAUCACACUCUGUCUGAUGCGCUAACGGAGGAGACACGUCCAGACCGGCAGACGCGCAACACCAAUGGGGAACCCUAAUGUGAACUGGGGACUCAAGCGAGGGCACAUGGCGGGUGCAGGGAUGGCAAGUCUCAGCUACCUCCUGAGCAGGCACUUUCCCCUCGAGGCAUGUCGCAAGUGCCACGAGCAGCUGCCAGGUGGAGCUGAGAUUCAGAUGCCAAGAAAAAGUGGUGGCUCUGCAGUGCUAAAUUUUGUAUCUUCAAAUAAGCACAAAGCCAGAGGCUUCUCUGCAAACCCCAACUAGUCAACAAAUCAAGGAAGGCCAGACACUGAGCUGAGGAAGACAGUCACAGAGGUAGGGAGUUUAUUUCUUCCCUGAGCCACACUGGGGGUCCAGGUAUAGAGGAAAUGCUC